GGGGAGAUGGCUGAAUUAGGUGAUAGACUGUAAAUCUAUUUAUGGGGCUUUGCCCCUCUCCCUA
rnacentral:tRNA from 1 species